rnacentral:lncRNA from 1 species
GAGUUGGACAUACUAUAAAAACUAAGUUAAAAUCUUGUAAAAUUUUUAAAUUGCAUUUCUACCUUUAAACAUCUACUGAGUGAGGUAGAGGGCAUGUCUAUUUAAUCAAACCUGGAAUGGCUAAUACAUGUCAAUACUGUGCACCACAGGUAUCAAAACCUAAAAUUCCCGAAACCCUUUCCCUUUAGAUUAGCAAAAUAUGAUUUUAAUCUCCCAACUCUAUAUUGUGUCUUAGACAAAAUUACUAGGCCAUUUUUUUUACAUUUGAUUCUGUCUUGACACAUCCUAUCCUCAACUUAAUUUCUCUGAGGAUAGAAAAACUGUGUGAUAUGGAAUAAUAAUACCAAACAUUUGUUAUAAACAAAGGAUAUUUUAUUUCUGCCCUGCUGUCCUGGCCUCUUAGAAUCAUAGCUCU